UGCAGUCGACGAGAGAAGAUCGGUGCUUGCACUGAUCCGAUCGAGUGGCGGACGGGUGAGUAACGCGUGGGUAACCUGCCUCAUACAGGGGAAUAACAGUUGGAAACGGCUGCUAAAACCGCAUAAGCGCACAGUAUCGCAUGAUACAGUGUGAAAAACUCCGGUGGUAUGAGAUGGACCCGCGUCUGAUUAGCUAGUUGGUGAGGUAACGGCCCACCAAGGCAACGAUCAGUAGCCGGCCUGAGAGGGUGAACGGCCACAUUGGGACUGAGACACGGCCCAAACUCCUACGGGAGGCAGCAGUGGGGAAUAUUGCACAAUGGGGGAAACCCUGAUGCAGCGACGCCGCGUGAGUGAUGAAGUAUUUCGGUAUGUAAAGCUCUAUCAGCAGGGAUGAUAAUGACGGUACCUGACUAAGAAGCACCGGCUAAAUACGUGCCAGCAGCCGCGGUAAUACGUAUGGUGCAAGCGUUAUCCGGAUUUACUGGGUGUAAAGGGUGCGUAGGUGGUGAGACAAGUCUGAAGUGAAAAUCCGGGGCUUAACCCCGGAACUGCUUUGGAAACUGCCUGACUAGAGUACAGGAGAGGUAAGUGGAAUUCCUAGUGUAGCGGUGAAAUGCGUAGAUAUUAGGAGGAACACCAGUGGCGAAGGCGACUUACUGGACUGCUACUGACACUGAGGCACGAAAGCGUGGGGAGCAA
rnacentral:rRNA from 1 species